rnacentral:tRNA from 1 species
AGCUCAAUGGCGCAGCGGAAGCGCGCCGGGCUCAUAACCCGGAGGACAGUGGAUCGAAACCACUUUGAGCUA